UGUUCUCCUGCAUUCAUGUGCCCGCUUAGAAAUCUCAGUGCGGAUUUCACUGCCUGUCCCCAGGCUCUCAGAAAUAGGCACUUGGCGACUCAAGCUGUGAGCAUGAACAGGGCAGUGUAUGAGAAAGUUCCAAAAACUUUUACAAGGUGCAAGGCCCUGCCUCUGGUUUCUUGAGGACUGCAGAGAAAAGAGUAAGAGGCUUCAGAUUUCUGAAAAAAAAUGCUAGAGCCGAAGCGUGGCAAGAGUUGGAGAUGUAGCACAAAUCACAACAGAUACACUGAGAUUCACAAAAGAACAGCUACUAGGCUCUUCUUCCAACUGCUUCAUGGAGUUGCCUUCUGUAUAAAGAAGGGGGAUGAUUAAAUUUGAAUGGAGACACCUAAAGACAGCCUGGAUCCUCUUUCCCACCUGAAAUGGCAAUCACUCGGAAAGCAGACAUAAGAAAGUAUUAUGGGUCGAGGUAUCCAAGCUGAACCACCUUGAGUGAAUACAGCCAUUGCCUGCACUGGCUACUUUUCCUGAGAAAAUGGCAGCAACCCAUACUGGAUAGUAGCCUUCAGAGAGAGCCUGUGAAUGCACAACCUAUUUCCCAGAGUGGGAGAGUGUCAACACACCAAAGACACAGAAGAGAAAGAAGUCAU